CACAUAUAAAAGACAGGCGCCGCGGCGGAACCCUCCUCUUUCCAGGCGUCCUCGUGAGAGUGACAUCGUCUUUAAACCCUCCGUGGCAAUCCCUGACGCACCGCCGUGAUGCCCAGGGAAGACAGGGCGACCUGGAAAUCCAACUACUUCCUAAAGAUCAUCCAACUUUUGGAUGAUUAUCCAAAAUGCUUCAUUGUGGGAGCAGACAAUGUGGGCUCCAAGCAGAUGCAGCAGAUCCGAAUGUCCCUCCGAGGGAAGGCCGUGGUGCUAAUGGGCAAGAAUACUAUGAUGCGCAAGGCCAUCCGAGGACAUCUGGAAAACAACCCGGCUCUGGAGAAGUCAACUGUUACCUCAUAUCCGGGGGAAUGUGGGCUUUGUGUUCACCAAGGAGGACCUCACUGAGAUCAGGGAUAUGCUGCUGGCCAAUAAGGUGCCUGCUGCUGCCCGUGCAGGUGCCAUUGCACCAUGUGAAGUCACCGUGCCUGCCCAGAACACUGGUCUGGGGCCUGAGAAGACCUCUUUCUUCCAGGCUCUGGGCAUCACCACUAAAAUCUC